GAAAGAAUCAACGGGAAAACUGUAUUCCAGAUGGAAAGGUGUAGGAGAGAUGGCAGAUCUGCCGAAAUGUGCCAAGAUGAUACCAAACAUGAAACAAGCACAAGCAUGAAGUGCAGGCUGCCUUGUGAUCGCACCCACCAGCCACAAGUUUGCUAGAACAGGAUCAUUGUCUCCAGCACGCGGUUCGAACCAUUGCCUUGGCUUGCCCCCAUUCCUUCAUCUUCCAGUCUAUACGUGAAGGUGGUGGAGCGGAGUCCCUCGUGAGCUGAUCAGGUUUUUCUCUCGGGUGCAAGACAAGGGAACAGUAAAAUUCUUACAGUGGGGCACAGUUGUCAGAAGGAUAGAGCUGCAAGCCGUGUCAGUGACAGCUCCCUAUGAUUUGUUGUUGUGGCGCCAUGAUUGCACACCCCAAGAAAUCAAUCAACCAUGGAAGUGAAGAGCCAUGGUGAGUCAGUUUGAACCCAUUUUGCUGUGUGGUUUCAGGAAGCCAGAGCCUCAAUCCCAAAAAUAGUGAUCCUAUAUGAACAAAGCUGUCAAGACUAAAAAUAUUGAUGCUUACAAAGUCUACAAUUAUUUCAUACAAAUAUAUUUAUCCAUCAGAAUAAUGUUCCUCCAGUUGCCAAAUGUAAAUGUUCACUGUGCAAGACCUCACCUGCUUAUUUACUUAACUUUAGAAUAAAAAAGUGGAAAAAAAAAAUGUGCCUCCUGGCAUAUGCUCAUUAGUUAGUGUGUAGUUGUAGAGUUUGCUGGUGUUAUGACCAACACUGAUGGUUAGGAAGUCUGCUGCUCUGACAU